rnacentral:tRNA from 1 species
GCGGGAGUAGCUCAGUUGGCAGAGCGUUGGCUUCCCAAGCCGAAGGUCGCGGGUUCGAGCCCCGUUUCCCGCU